UGACACUGGUGAUGAGACUCUGCACAUUAAAACAGCAUGGAGAGAGGAGAGGAAUGACGGUGACCAGUCAGAGGCAUUCCAUUCUACCAGUCAGAAAUGCAGAAGAGCAUUGCACAAUUCAAACGGCAAAGUUAAAAAUAUGGCAAUCCGAAGAGAAUUGGCCGACGGAGUGGAGUGAGUCCUGGGAGCUGUUUUGGAUCAACUCUCUAAGAAGGUCAGGUGGUGAAGAACCGGGUGAAAACAUCGCUGAGCAUUGAUCUGAGAUGGGAUUGCCUACAGAAGAGAGAUCUGCGGUAAUAGUGCAUGGUGGAAAAUGAACCAAGUGUUGUCUUCAUGGAUUUAUUCAUCUAUGAGGUGCCCUGAAUCAAGACCCCAAUCUCCCACAUC
rnacentral:lncRNA from 1 species